GCCGCUGUGGCCAAGGGGUAAGGCACUCCACUCGUAUUUUCCUAGGAAAUGGAGCGAUCCUGCGUUCGAUUCGCAGUAGCGGCA